UACGUAGGGUGCGAGCGUUGCCCGGAUUUAUUGGGCGUAAAGCGUGCGCAGGCGGUUUCGUAAGUCUGUCGUGAAAUCCCCGGGCUUAACCUGGGAAUGGCGAUGGAGACUGCGAGGCUAGAGUUUGGCAGAGGGAGGUAGAAUUCCACGUGUAGCAGUGAAAUGCGUAGAGAUGUGGAGGAACACCGAUGGCGAAGGCAGCCCCCUGGGUCAAAACUGACGCUCAUGCACGAAAGCGUGGGGAGCAAACAGG
rnacentral:rRNA from 1 species